UACGUAGGGGGCUAGCGUUGUCCGGAAUCAUUGGGCGUAAAGCGCGCGUAGGCGGCCAGAUAAGUCCGGUGUGAAAGCCACAGGCUCAACCUGUGAAUGCCGCUGGAAACUGUCUGGCUAGAGUCCGGGAGGGGCGAGUGGAAUUCCUGGUGUAGCGGUGAAAUGCGCAGAUAUCAGGAGGAACACCAAUGGCGAAGGCGGCUCACUGGACCGGUUCUGACGCUGAGGUGCGGAAAGCGUGGGGGAGCAAACAGG
rnacentral:rRNA from 1 species